GAUGAACGCUGGCGGCGUGCCUAAUACAUGCAAGUCGAGCGAACAGACGAGGAGCUUGCUCCUCUGACGUUAGCGGCGGACGGGUGAGUAACACGUGGAUAACCUACCUAUAAGACUGGGAUAACUUCGGGAAACCGGAGCUAAUACCGGAUAAUAUAUCGAACCGCAUGGUUCAAUAGUGAAAGACGGUUUUGCUGUCACUUAUAGAUGGAUCCGCGCCGCAUUAGCUAGUUGGUAAGGUAACGGCUUACCAAGGCAACGAUGCGUAGCCGACCUGAGAGGGUGAUCGGCCACACUGGAACUGAGACACGGUCCAGACUCCUACGGGAGGCAGCAGUAGGGAAUCUUCCGCAAUGGGCGAAAGCCUGACGGAGCAACGCCGCGUGAGUGAUGAAGGUCUUCGGAUCGUAAAACUCUGUUAUUAGGGAAGAACAUAUGUGUAAGUAACUGUGCACAUCUUGACGGUACCUAAUCAGAAAGCCACGGCUAACUACGUG
rnacentral:rRNA from 1 species